rnacentral:rRNA from 1 species
UUUUAUGGAGAGUUUGAUCCUGGCUCAGGAUGAACGCUGGCGGCGUGCCUAAUACAUGCAAGUCGAGCGAACGGACGAGAAGCUUGCUUCUCUGAUGUUAGCGGCGGACGGGUGAGWAACACGUGGAUAACCUACCUAUAAGACUGGGAUAACUUCGGGAAACCGGAGCUAAUACCGGAUAAUAUUUUGAACCGCAUGGUUCAAAAGUGAAAGACGGUCUUGCUGUCACUUAUAGAUGGAUCCGCGCUGCAUUAGCUAGUUGGUAAGGUAACGGCUUACCAAGGCAACGAUGCAUAGCCGACCUGAGAG